GUGGCCGAGAGUAUAGGCGGCGGAUUGUAAAUUCGUCGAGGGGAGUUUGAGUCUCCCUUU
rnacentral:tRNA from 1 species